UACGGAGGGAGCUAGCGUUGUUCGGAAUUACUGGGCGUAAAGCGCGCGUAGGCGGUUACUCAAGUCAGAGGGGAAAGCCCGGGGCUCAACCCCGGAACUGCCUUUGAAACUAGGUAACUAGAAUCUUGGAGAGGUCAGUGGAAUUCCGAGUGUAGAGGUGAAAUUCGUAGAUAUUCGGAAGAACACCAGUGGCGAAGGCGACUGACUGGACAAGUAUUGACGCUGAGGUGCGAAAGCGUGGGGAGCAAACAGG
rnacentral:rRNA from 1 species